AUGAAUAUACCUGUGGGAGCAACGGCCGCGGCGCGGAAUUCUGGGAGUUGUUCGUUGCGCGGAGCGCAGGCACGUCCGCCGGCCACCGGAAGCAGCGCCAUUGCCCGGUGCGUGCAGGUGGCAGCCAAGAGCCUCCUGGUACAGCGGCACCAGGUGGCGCCUAUUGGACCCCAGAGGUCAUCCCAGCUCCAGACGUGGACACAUUUUCUUCCAAUGCGUGGAGCCAGGAUAGAAGUCACAGUGCAAGCAAGUUGUGGAAUUCCUGGUCAGUCUCUGCAUGGGAGUUGAGGAGCAUGUGGGUGACAUGACUGAAUGUGGAGGAGGGAAUGGCAGCGGCAGGAAGUCCAGGACGUUUGGGCUGGACAUGUAACCUGGAACAGAUUGGAAACAUCACCCCACAAGCAGGGAAGGAGAAAACUGGAAAAGGAAAGAGAAAGCAACUCCUUCCCUAGCCCUGCAGCCGGAGGGACUUCUGCCAGUUCAGCCCCCACACAGGUCCAGUAUGAGGAACAGAAGGAGAAUUUUAUUUUAUUUUAUUUUAUUUUAUUAUUUUUUUUUUUUUGAGACGGAGUCUCGCGCUGUGUCACCCAGGCUGGAGUGCAGUGGCGCGAUCUCGGCUCACUGCAAGCUCCGCCUCCCAGGUUCACGCCAUUCUCCUGCCUCAGCCUCCGAGUAGCUGGGACUACAGGCGCCCGCCACCACGCCCGGCUAGUUUUUUGUAUUUUUAGUAGAGACGGGGUUUCACCAUGUUAGCCAGGAUGGUCUCGAUCUCCUGACCUCGUGAUCCACCCGCCUCGGCCUCCCAAAGUGCUGGGAUUACAGGCUUGAGCCACCGCGCCCGGCCAGAAGGAGAAUUUUAUGUCCAAGUAUAAUCACUAUGAAUACAUCUGUUGUGCCCCUUUUGCAGGUCAGCACAAUGUUAAGCUCUGUAAAUGCAACUCAGUUCUUUCAGCAUCCUCACAAGGCAGGGCUUGCUGUCUUUCCAGAUGUCUACAAAUGAGGAAACUGAGGCCUGGAGAGGUUAAAGAGGCCCGUUCAGAGUCCUACAGCAGCAGGUAAUGGAGGCAGUACUUUGAAAGCAGGUUGCAAAGUGAGUGUUCUCAGCCCUUGCCCUUGGAUGCCUCCAGACAAGGAAGGACAGGGUUAGAGAGCAGAGAUGGACACAGGCAGUGAGAGAUUCCCCAGGGAAGGCCAGGAGCAUCAGGACAGGAUAGUAUCACACAGGAUAUUGGGCAGACCUCUUGGGUGUGGUCUACAUUUGUGUUUGUGUGUGUGUUCAGGAAUGAGAGAGCAGAGCAGGAAUGGGCAAGAUAAGGAGGGGAAAACAAAGUGUUGGUCACUCUGUUCAGGCCUCAGCUGAGAGGAGAAGCGGCAUGGGGGUGGGGCACUGGGCUAUGGAUUCAUCUUGACCAGAGAGAAGACAUCUGACCUCAGAAUUUGAAGGGAGCUACUAUUGAGUGCAGGCUUGCAGGAGUUUGUGUGCCAGGAAGUUGAAAGAGUCCAGAGUCAUCCCUUGGAGUGAAUGAAAAGGCUGAUUUGUCUGCAAAGAGAGGACAGUGGUGGAAGGGGGCUGAAGUAGGGAGUGAGAGCAU
ensembl:lncRNA